rnacentral:rRNA from 1 species
UCGCUCUUCAACGAGGAAUCCCUAGUAAGCACAAGUCACCAGCUUGUGCUGAUUACGUCCCUGCCCUUUGUACACACCGCCCGUCGCUACUACCGAUUGAAUGGCUUAGUGAGGCCCUCGGAUCGACUUUCUGAGACUGGCAACAGUCUUUGAUUGUUGAGAAGUUGGUCAAACUUGGUCAUUUAGAGGAAGUAAAAGUCGUAACAAGGUUUCCGUAGGUGAACCUGCGGAAGGAUCAUUACUGAUUUAGCGAACCGAGGUUUUGCGAUCACUUGUAUUUAAAACCCAACUCAUAUAAAAUAUGUAUAUUUUUGAAAAAUAAAUUAAAGAUCACUUUCAACAACGGAUCUCUUGGCUCUCGCAUCGAUGAAGAACGUAGCGAAGUGCGAUAAGUAAUGUGAAUUGCAGAAUUCCGUGAAUCAUCGAAUCUUUGAACGCAUAUUGCACUUUCUGGUAUUCCGGAAAGUAUGCCUGUUUGAGGGUCAGUUAAAUAAAAAUCGGUGUUGUUGCUGCUAUUAGUGGUGAUGCAUCGGAAUUGAGUUGUUCUUUGCCCUUUGGUAUAAGUGACUUAAAAUUUGUACGAUUUUUGAACGUAUUUAAAUUAUUUACGUACGUUCAUAAUAAUCAUAUAUUAGGUGCGGUCAUUAUUAUGAUUUCGCGCCUAUAAUUUUUUCAUUAUUUGACCUCAAAUCAGGUAAGAAUACCCGCUGAACUUAAGCAUAUCAAUAAGCGGAGGAAAAGAAAAUAACAAUGAUUCCCUUAGUAACGGCGAGUGAAGGGGGAUAAGCUCAAAUUUUAAAUCUGCUAGGUUUUACCUAUCAGAGUUGUAAUUUGAAGAAGCGUUUUCCGCGUCUCGGUUGACCCAAAUCCUUUGGGAUAUGGUAUCAUGGAGGGUGAGAAUCCCGUCCGGUUGACUUUGUGACGCUUUACGAUACGUUUUCAAAGAGUCGAGUUGUUUGGGAUUGCAGCUCAAAAUGGGAGGUAAAUUUCUCCUAAGGCUAAAUAUUGGCGAGAGACCGAUAGCGAACAAGUACCGUGAGGGAAAGAUGAAAAGAACUUUGAAAAGAGAGUAAAAUAGUACGUGAAAUUGUUGAAAGGGAAACGAUUGAAGUCAGUUGUACCGACGGAAAAUCAACUCUUCGAGUGUGGACUUGUGGACGUGCGUGAGCUUUAAGGGCCUCGCUGUUUGUAACGUUCGUGCUUUUUGGGUGUACUUUUUCGUAUGGUAGGCCAACAUCAGUUUUGAUCGCUAUAAAAUGACUGGAGGAAUGUAGCUUCGAUCUCGUAUUGAAGUGUUAUAGCCUUUGGUAGAUGUGGUGAUCGGGACUGAGGAUUGCAACGAAUAUUCUUUGGGCUAUCCGUCUGAUCUCUGAAAGUCGCUUAGGUGCCGAAAGCUUGCUUACGGUCAUUUAAGUUUGACGGUCAAAAGGUUAGAACGUGAUUACAUUCGUUAAGGAUGUGGCGUAAUGGCUUUAAACGACCCGUCUUGAAACACGGACCAAGGAGUCUAACAUAUAUGCGAGUGUUA